rnacentral:rRNA from 1 species
CAAGAUGAGUAUGCGUUCUAUUAGCUAGAUGGUAAGGUAACGGCUUACCAUGGCGACGAUAGAUAGGGGCCCUGAGAGGGGGAUCCCCCACACUGGUACUGAGACACGGACCAGACUCCUACGGGAGGCAGCAGUGAGGAAUAUUGGACAAUGGGCGAGAGCCUGAUCCAGCCAUGCCGCGUGCAGGAUGACUGCCCUAUGGGUUGUAAACUGCUUUUAUACAGGAAGAAACACUCCCUCGUGAGGGAGCUUGACGGUACUGUAAGAAUAAGGAUCGGCUAACUCCGUGCCAGCAGCCGCGGUAAUACGGAGGAUCCAAGCGUUAUCCGGAAUCAUUGGGUUUAAAGGGUCCGUAGGUGGAUAAUUAAGUCAGAGGUGAAAUCCUGCAGCUCAACUGUAGAAUUGCCUUUGAUACUGGUUAUCUUGAGUUAUUAUGAAGUAGUUAGAAUAUGUGGUGUAGCGGUGAAAUGCAUAGAUAUCACAUAGAAUACCAAUUGCGAAGGCAGAUUACUAAUAAUUAACUGACACUGAUGGACGAAAGCGUGGGGAGCGAACAGGAUUAGAUACCCUGGUAGUCCACGCCGUAAACGAUGGUUACUAGUUGUUCGAACUUCGGUUUGAGUGACUAAGCGAAAGUGAUAAGUAACCCACCUGGGGAGUACGUUCGCAAGAAUGAAACUCAAAGGAAUUGACGGGGGCCCGCACAAGCGGUGGAGCAUGUGGUUUAAUUCGAUGAUACGCGAGGAACCUUACCAGGGCUUAAAUGUAGAUUGACAGGUUUAGAGAUAGACUUUUCUUCGGACAAUUUACAAGGUGCUGCAUGGUUGUCGUCAGCUCGUGCCGUGAGGUGUCAGGUUAAGUCCUAUAACGAGCGCAACCCCUGUUGUUAGUUGCCAGCGAGUCAUGUCGGGAACUCUAACAAGACUGCCGGUGCAAACCGUGAGGAAGGUGGGGAUGACGUCAAAUCAUCACGGCCCUUAC